CUUACAGAAUCGGGUCCGCAUUUCAAGGAUCUCCACUCUGCUCCUUCCUCUCUCGCAAAAACUCUUCACCAUAUACUUGAUCACCAACUAAGUCCCACCUUCAUCGUUUAACAGUCACUAACCUUAGCCUUGACCUUCACAACUUUAGUUAAUUUCUUCUUUUCUCUUUGUCCCAAAAAAUGCAAUCUCUAACCCAAAAUUUAUCAUUUUUAUCGCCUUUGUUUUCACAAGUUAGUGAAAGCCCUGAGCCCAAAAAAAUUCAAUUGAAAUCAAGUUUCUUCAAAAACCCAAUCUUUUUCACAUCCCACAAAAGCUUUCACAGUCCUGAUAAACCAAUUUCAACAGAAGUGUUCCCCAAAAAUCCCAUCUUUUUCACAUCCCUGAAGUGUUAUCACAACCCUGAUAAGCCAAUAUCAAGAAACUCCUCAGUUUCUUGUAUAACAGCUCAUGAAACUCCAUUGCAACCUUUAACGAUGCCCGAAAAGGUUCAUUGUUUGGCUUGUGAAUUCAAGUCUUUACCUGAGCCAAUUGAUAGGGUCAAAAGACUGUUACAUUAUGCCACUCUCCUCCCUCCAUUUGAUGAGUCCGGUCGGGUUGAAGAAAACCGGGUCAAAGGCUGUACAACCAUGGUCUGGUUGGAGGUAGAAAUGGAUAGUAACAGAUUAAUGAGAUAUAAAGUUGAUAGUGACUCAGAAAUCACAAAGGGAUUUUGUUCUUGUUUGAUUUGGUUGUUUGAUGGUGCGAUGCCUGAGGAGGUGUUGAGUGUAAAAACUGAUGAUUUGGCUGAGAUGAAUGUCGGGAUGCCCAGUAAAGGUCAUUCCAGGGUUAAUACUUGGCAUAACAUAUUGAUUAGUAUUCAGAAGAAGACUAAAAAUUUUGUUGAGGUAAAGGAUAAAGACCGGUCUUUGACAGAGUUUCCUCCCUUGGUUGGUAGUACUGAUGGCUUCAGCGUCUAUGGAAAUUACAAGGAAGCUCAGUAUAUGCAAGAAUCCCGUCAAGCGGGCAACGAAGUUGAGGGUCCAACUUGAGCUUGUUUCGGUCAUGAGUGGUAAUGGUCAAUUUACUAUUCCACAGUAUAAGAAAUGAGAGAGUCCUAGAUGAAAAGAAAGACUCUUUGCAUCUUCUCCUACUCUUCUCAAAUCUCAAGUCGAUGCCAGGCUUUUGGCUGUCCAUUUCAAGGAAAUAUUUCUGCUGAUCAUGUGAUGCUUUUCUUCAGAGCCUUCAUUCAAGAAAACUAAGCCGGUUGCAUUUCCUACUUCGAAUAAGUCUUUUGAGGUUCAAGAUUUAUCAGCAAACUGAAGCAGAGGAAAGUCAUAUAUACUUUGUGGAGAAUCUAGAAGUAGAAGCGCAGCAGAGUUACGUACAUGCUGCGCUGCUGCUGCUGGACUGGAGGAAGUUGGAUUCAAGAAAAUAUUUUUUAUUAUGCUUUGCUAAAAGUGGAUAUCCUCAUAUGUACAAGUACCUAUAACAGUGCCUUUUUCUGGUCA